rnacentral:sRNA from 1 species
ACGUAGGAGAGGAGGUGGUUCGGCUCAUGACGGAAACCCGGACAUACGAGGUGGCUGCGGGCUAGCGGCCCGUUGUCGGACUCGGUUCGGCGCCGGACCCGCAUGUGUGUUGUGCAUGCAGCCGGCCCAAUCCAACGCAGUCACCCGACCCGCGAACUCGCCGGUACGUCCGGCCCGGCUCCCCCGCCGUCAGGCGCAGGGAACCCGAGUUCGCGGGUCGUUCGCG